rnacentral:rRNA from 1 species
CCUACGGGAGGCAGCAGUGAGGAAUAUUGGUCAAUGGCCGAGAGGCUGAACCAGCCAAGUCGCGUGAGGGAUGACUGCCCUAUGGGUUGUAAACUUCUUUUAUAAAGGAAUAAAACGAGGCACGUGUGCCUUUGUGCAUGUACUUUAUGAAUAAGGAUCGGCUAACUCCGUGCCAGCAGCCGCGGUAAUACGGAGGAGCCGAGCGUUAUCCGGAUUGAUUGGGGUUAAAGGGAGCGUAGAUGGGUUGUUAAGUCGGUUGUGAAAGUUUGCGGCUCAACCGUAAAAGUGCAAUUGAUACUGGCAGUCUUGAGUACAGUUGAGGUAGGCAGAAUUCGUGGUGUAGCGGUGAAAUGCUUAGAGAUCACGAAGAACCCCGAUUGCGAAGGCAGCUUACUAAACUGUGACUGACAUUGAGGUUCGAAAGUGUGGGUAUCAAACAGGAUUAGAUACCCCAGUAGUC